rnacentral:tRNA from 1 species
CAGAUUUUAGUUAAAAUAUAAUAAUUGUUUUGGAGACAUUAGUUAGAAGAAAAUUCUUAAUCUGA